AGCCUCAAAAAUGCCAAAAUCUCUUGCCCAACCAAAAUUUGUAAGCCCCAUGUCAGACGCUUCUGAAGAAACUGAAAUUGAGACGCUCCGCCGCACGCCCUCUCGCCGCCGCGGCGCGAGAGUCGCCACAGCGUCGCUGGGAGGCUCCCCCUCCGCACUAGCCACCCCCUUCCGCCAUCCUCUCUUUCCCCGGGGACGGCGUCUGACCACCGCCCUCCACCCGCGACAUGGCUCCGCCCGUCGAAGGCCCAGCGACGCGCUGCUCCACUGGUUCCUGGGGACGGCGACGGGAGGUUCUUAAUUGGUGCUCUAGCUGUGUGGGCUCGCCGAUAGCAGAUGAGGUUGUGAAGAUGAGAGGUCUGCUACGUGUUCGACGAAAUGUUUGCAGAGUCAUGGUUCGUGUUUACUUCAAGAUGUACACUUGAUAGCAUGAAAUUCUGCAUAUAUGAGCAUCUUCAACAAAAUAGGUGGAAGCUCGUGGUACUUAUUUAGCAUUCCUGAGAGCCUGAUAUAUCUCUCGAAGUACUGUUUUCUGGGAAAUAAAAUGCCGAUAACCUUGUCAGCUACCCUGGUAUGGCGAUUCGAUCUCCAGGAUUUUAGCUCGCAAGCAAUCCUAUGCCGGGAAUGUUGAGCCGUUACGGUAACAGAGAAUUUGUCCAAAGCUGCAGCCUUCGAAAGCAGAAACUCUGCAAGCAACC